UACGGACGGGGCAAGCGUUGUUCGGAAUCAUUGGGCGUAAAGGGCGCGUAGGUGGUUCUGUAUGUCUACCGUGAAAGCGUACGGCUCAACCGUAUUUUGUCGGUGGAAACUGCAGGACUUGAGGCUGGGAGGGGCUGGUGGAAUUCCCUGUGUAGCGGUGAAAUGCGUAGAGAUGGGGGAGAACACUCGUGGCGAAGGCGGCCAGCUAGACCAGUUCUGACACUGAGGCGCGAUAGCGUGGGGAGCAAACAGG
rnacentral:rRNA from 1 species